AUGGAGUCGAACCCGAGUUGCGCUUCUCCCCAAGGGGAGGAGCUGGAGGACGGAGAAAUCUUCGACGAUGAGCCGCAGCAGCAGAACGCGAGACCCCCGCGGCGGCCCCGGCCCUGCCGCCCCUACCGGAGAGCGCGUCUGCCGGGGCCGGUGAUAGGCAGCGCCGCGGGGCCGCCGAGGCCUCCGCACCCGCACCCGGCCUUCCCCUGCGAGCUCCGGCAGGCCUUCGAGUCCGCGCCGCGCUCCGGCUUCUGGGAGCGCAGUCACGCAGCGCUCACGGGCCGCUUCAGGUACCGCGCUCAGCGGCCGCAGGACUGGCCGCCCCGGGACUGGCAGCAGCGCUUCCCGGAGAACCACCGGACAGACUCCCCCGGCAGGAAACCGCAGAAGAGUGUGCGCGCGGCAGCCCGCAGGAACCCUCCGCUCGGCAAAAGCGAGCCGGUGGACGAGAGCUUCGAGGACCUGCUGCUGAAGUACAAGCAGAUCCAGCUGGAGCUGGAGUGCAUCCGCAAGGAGGAGCGCGCCGCCCUGGAGGACGAGGAGCCGCCGGUGCACAGGUCAGACGGAGGAGCGGCGCCGCAGGAGUCCGUGGAGGAGCAGCAGCAGCAGAAGAAGAGCUUUCAGGCCUUCAACAUCCGCCCGCUGCGGCAGAAGCUGCUGACACCUGCAGAGAGAGACGCACUCAACUGCAGAGCCACGCAGGAGAACACACACACGCAGGAGAACACGCGCACGCAGGAGAACACACACACGCAGGAGAACACGCGCACGCAGGAGAACACGCAAGAGGACACGCAGCAGAUGACACUGGACAGCACUGCAGAUGACGCUGUGAAGGACGAGGACUCUGAAUCAGACCUCAACAUCUCCACUGUGAGCGACGAGACUCCAGUCGUCAUCCGCAAGAAGGAGGAUGAGGACGAAGUGUCGGAGCUGCAGCUGCGUCUCCUCGCUCUACAGUCCGCCAGCAGGAAGUGGCAGCAGAAGGAGAAGCAGGUGCUGAAGGAGAGCAAGGAGAAGAUGGAGAGCAAGGAGAAGAAGACGGAGAAGACCAGCUCAGCGUCUGCAGAGAAGACCAGCCCGAGAGCAGCAGAGAGAUCCAGAGCGGCCAGAACACCUGCAGACAAGAGCAGACCAUCCAACAGAGCCAAGAAACCCGCACACCUGACCAAGCAGGCUCUGAGGAAGCAGCAGUUGCGCACCUGGAAGCUGCAGCAGGAGGCGCGGCGGCAGCAGCAGGAGCAGGAGGAGGAGCGGCGGCGGCGGGAGGACGAGAUCCGCAGGAUCCGGGAUCUGUCCAAUCAGGACGAGCAGUACAACCGCUUCAUGAGGCUGGUGGGCUCCAGACGGCCCUCCCGCAGCAAGUCUGCAGACUCAGGCAAGCUGAAGCAGAGUCUGGACACGUCCGGCUGUCUCUACCAGUACGACAACUAUGAUGAGGUCGCCAUGGAUACUGACAGUGAAACCAACUCACCAGGUACACACACACACACACACACACCUGUUCUGCAGACACUUGUGCUAACUGGAGUGUAUUUGAUGAUGCUAAUGCUCGUCUGCAGCUGCGUCCCCUACCCAUGAUGCACUGCCCAGGUUCCCGCUGGAGUCCACGCCUCACCGACAGGUAAACACUCGCCGCUGUGUGUGUGUGUGUGUGUGUGUUAUAUUGCCAGAUUGGUCAGCACUGUGGCCUCACAGCAGGAAGGUCUCUGGUUUGAGUCUCGGCUGGGUUAGUUGGUGUUUCUGUGUGGAGUUUGCAUGUUCUCCCCGUGUUGGUGUGGGUUUCCUCCGGGUGCUCUGGUUUCCCCCACAGUCCAAACACAUGCGCUAUAGGGGAACUGAUCNNNNNNNNNNNNNNNNNNNNNNNNNNNNNNNNNNNNNNNNNNNNNNNNNNNNNNNNNNNNNNNNNNNNNNNNNNNNNNNNNNNNNNNNNNNNNNNNNNNNGUGACUUUUUCAAAAGUAGUAAUAUUUGCAGUCAUAAACAUGUUCAGACAAUUAAUAUGACGCUGAUUUGAUGCUUCAUAAUAGUUGCAGACGCCUUUACCAAUAUCAAAAUGCUUUAGUUAACAACCAGUUAUUCUGUACACCCUUUAAGAAACCGGCUACUAUAACACUACUAAAACGCUACUAUAACACUGCUAUAACACUGCUAUAACACUAGUAUAAUAGGAGAGUCUGCUGUAACUGUAAAACUGCUCUCGACACAUGAAAGGGCAAAUCAUGCAGCACACAAGGUGUGCAGUUAUUGCGUCUCAUAUUCAACAAACAGUUACUCUGAAUUUUCUGUAAUUUUGCUCACAUGAAUAAUUGAAUAUUAAUCAGAUGAUGUCAUCGCGCUGCUGUGCCGUCAGCCAAUCACUGCACUGCUGAUCAUGAUUGAGGAUGGGUAGAUCUGUCCUUCACAGCACACACAGAUCUCAGAUCAGUUCAUCCAGACACUUUAAUCUGAGUCACCAACUUGUUUGAAGAACCGAAUUAGCCAGAGAUCAGUUAUCGAGAUGAACAGAUCCAGGAUCUGCCAAAUCAUCUUAGAUCAAUUAAGCGAGGAAUGCAGAACUGACCCCAGAUCUGAUCUAACACCAGCCAAUGGAAAUCAUCAGUAAACAGAGUGCCACAUUUCUAGAGGACACUGGUCAUGUCUGGCAGAAAUACAGUAAUACUGUGCUGCAGUGCUCACUGUAUCACACACACACACACACACACACACACACACACACACUAUGCGAGUGUCACGAUCAUGAUCAGCAGUGCAGUGAUUGGCUGACGGCACAGCAGCAUGAUGACAUCAUCUGAUCAAUAUUCAAUUAUCCAUGCCAGCAAAAAUACAUAAAUGAGCAGUGAACGCUUUAAAUAUGACCCGCAGUAACUCUCCACAUGUGUGGUGAGCUGCACUUACGAGAGUGUUCAUCAUAUGUUUCAGUGCACAUCAGUGUGUUCAGUUCCACAUCCAGAGCAGAUUUGCUUUAUUACAGUAGACCAGGCCGACACUAUUUUAAUCGCAGUAAGGAAUAACUAUAAACUAAUCUUGCAUCAAAAAAGCGGUUUGCCAUUGGUAAAGGCGUCAGUCGCCGGCAUAUUAGUGAUCAAAACACGCAUGACUGCAUACAAUAUACUGCGGUUUAGUUUUUUGUUUUUAAGUGGAAUAUUGUGUGUGUGUGUGUGUGUGUGUGUACGCAUUUGCAUCUAAAAAGUUCAUAUAAUAACUAUUCUCUGUGAACCAGCAGGUGGCAGACUUUUACUUUAUGCCUCUUUCCACUGACUGCUACAGUACGGUGCGGUUCGGGUCGGUACGGGUCACCUUUAUCAGGCUUGUGUUUCCCACUAGCAAGGGCACCGUUUUGGUGGGCCGUGGUGUAAGACUAAGUUUUAGUCGACGUCAUGCUCACUCGAGAAAAUUGUCUACAGUAAAGC
rnacentral:lncRNA from 1 species